CCGUACCUAUAAGACGUGGGAGUAACUUCGGGAAACCGGAGGCUAAUACCGGAUAAUAUUUCGAACCGCAUGGUUCGAUAGUGAAAGGUGGUUUUGCUAUCACUUAUAGAUGGACCCGCGCCGUAUUAGCUAGUUGGUAAGGUAACGGCUUACCAAGGCGACGAUACGUAGCCGACCUGAGAGGGUGAUCGGCCACACUGGAACUGAGACACGGUCCAGACUCCUACGGGAGGCAGCAGUU
rnacentral:rRNA from 1 species